rnacentral:rRNA from 1 species
UACAGAGGGUGCGAGCGUUAAUCGGAAUUACUGGGCGUAAAGCGUGCGUAGACGGUAGCGUAAGUCGGGCGUGAAAGCCCCGGGCUCAACCUGGGAAUUGCAUUCGAGACUGCUCUGCUAGGGUGCGGAAGAGGGAAGCGGAAUUUCCGGUGUAGCGGUGAAAUGCGUAGAUAUCGGAAAGAACACCAGUGGCGAAAGCGGCUUCCUGGUCCAGCACCGACGUUCAGGCACGAAAGCGUGGGGAGCAAACAGG